GGAUGCCCGUUUAGAAUUUGUUCCAUCAUUAGCCAUUAGAUGGCAGAAUGGCGGCUUCUUACCACGCCGCCGCCGUCCCUCGCCACCGCUGUCGCCGGUUUGCGCCUGAGCUAAUCUGUUCUAGAACAGCCAAUAUGGUGGUUUGUGGCGUUUCCACUUCAUUCCCCUCUAAAACUACCAGAAGAAAAAACCGCCUCCGCGAGAAAAUCCUCAAAACCCUAGAACUGCCCGAUAUAACGAAGCCAUCGCUAAUUCCUAUUGAUUCUCCGCCUGUUGAAGAAGCCGGCGUGUCUGGCACGAUUCAGGAAGGACUAGAAGAGAAGUGUGAACGCUCUGAAGCUGGAAACCAAGAGGUUGAAAAUUUGCAGGUUGAGGUGCGUGCUGGAAACCAAGAGGUUGAAAAUUUGCAGGUUGAGGUGCGUGCUGGAAACGACCAGGUUGAAAAUUUGCAGGCUGAGGUGCGUGCUGGAAAUGAAGAGGUUGGAAGUAUCGUUGUGCCGGAUAAAAAUUCAGUUUUGAAAUAUGGUGUUUGGUUGCUUGGGGCUUUUCUAUUCCAAACUGUUUGUGCGGUUUGGGCUUUCGGUUCAUCUGGUUUUGGUGAUAAUACUUCGGCGCCUGUGAACGAGGAAAGUUCCGUAACUGAACUGGUAGGAAAUGGAAAGGAUAGAUCGAGCGUUAGGGUUGUUCUGAAAGGCGAAAAUGGUGCUGCCGAUUCAUUUAUUUAUGUGAAUGAGCUGGAAAUGGAGAGUAAAAUUGUAGAAAUUCGGGCAAUGGCAAGGGAGGUGAGGGAGAAAGAACGAUUGGAGUCAGAGAAGAGUGGCUAUGAUAGUGAGAAGAGUGAGGAUGAAGCUGAUGGGGAGAGGCAUUCUAAGAGUGUGAUAGAAGAGGAGGUUGAUGAUCGGUUGAUUCGUUUGCGGAAGAAGUUAGAAAAUGCGCGUAAGAAAAUGCCGAUGGCAUCGGCUGGCAAUUCAGUGAAGGACAGUAUUGGGAAAGCUGAGGUUAAAAAGGGCGAAUCUGACGAAGACGAUGGUAAUGGAGCAUUGUUGUUUCGGAGGAAGUAUAAGUUCAAAGAUUCUCCAACUGAUCCAGUGAGGAAGCCAAAGGGGUUUACAGGUUCAGUUGGUUAUGAAGUUGUUAAUUCUGAGGAGAAUGGCGGGGUGAGGAAGGAGGAUGAGUUGCUCGAAGGGAAUGGUGAUGAUAGAGCAGUUGAUAUAGGAGAUGAAGAAAAGCUACAAGAUGCGUUCGAUGUUGAGUCAAAGCACAGCGAUGAGAAUUAUGUUGUGGAGGAGUAUGAAGAGAAAACUGAGCUAGAAAUGAGUGAGCCCAUGAAGAAUACUAGGAGAUAUGUAACGGAAGAGGAGGGUAAUAGCAAGGAAGUAAAGGGAAUAGAUGCCUCGAAACCAAAGGCAAUGCUUAUGGAGAAAAAUAGUGGGAGUAAUACCCUUGGAGCAGUAAAGCCUCGGAAAUCAAAUGUCAAAGUUCUGAAGUCUAGAAAACCUAAUGAUAGAAAGAAUGGUGUAAGAGACGAAAGAAUCGGAGAUUUUAAGUCGGCAGCGAAAAGCAAAACUGGCCUUUGGUGGUUGAAGCUUCCAUACGUUCUGGUUAUCAUAAUUCAAAGAGGUGACUAUGACAAGGGGAGUGAAGGGUUUUAUGUACUAAAAAGUAUUUCUGGCUCAAAGAAUCGAACAUCUCAUAUUGUUGCUUUUGAAGACCAAGCCGAUGCCAACAAUUUCUGCUAUCUUCUGGAGUCCUUCUUCGAAGAUAUGGAAGGAUUCAGAGCCGAUGUUGUUCCUUUAACAGCCCAAGAACUAAGUGAAACAGUGAAAUCACGUGCCAUGAGGCCGAUUGUUGUGAAGAAAGGGCAACUUCAACUUUAUGCCGGACAACCACUCAGUGACGCUGAGAUGGCUUUGCGCUCUUUAAUCGAGCGAGGCUGAAUAUCGCGAAAACGUAACACUCUUUAUCUUCCCUGUUUGCAAUAAUUUCCAGUAAUUAAGCGAAGUUGACAGCACAUUAUCAUGAUGCUUGUCUCUUGUCAGAUAUGAAUUUGCCUACUCAAAGAUAUAUCCCAAUUUUAUAAGAAGACAACUCUACGAAGCGGCAACUAGAGCUGUUGACGAGCCGAGCGAAUUCUAAGUGUUUAUGUUUGUUCGUUAACAAGGCUCGUGUUCGUUCAUUGAGCUUUCGAAUUCGUUCGUAGUGUUCGAGCUCGGCUCGUUAAAGAUUUUUAUUUUUUUGAGCUCGUGUUCGGCUCGAUUAAGCUCGAACGAGUUUGUCUCACUUUUU